GAAGCAUCAGUGCUGGAAGAAAUACGAGAGGAGCAACAGCGUCGUAAAUGAUGGUAAUCCGGGAACUACUGAAUGAAUGCUCAGCCAGCCGGUGGCAUUCUUCCGAGGACUUGUGCUUGUGUAUUGGCGGAUUUUAUUUUUCUUUGGUUUAUUAGUGACUUUUCCUUCCUUUUUCUUAAGUAAUGGAGAAUUAUUAUGGUUGGCAAAUUGUACAUGUCUUUGUAAAGGAAUGGC
rnacentral:lncRNA from 1 species